GGGUUGCGGACAGUGUCUGGUGGGUAGUUUGACUGGGGCGGUCUCCUCCUAAAGAGUAACGGAGGAGCACGAAGGUCAGCUAAUCCUGGUCGGACAUCAGGAGGUUAGUGCAAUGGCAUAAGCUGGCUUGACUGCGAGCGUGACGGCGCGAGCAGGUGCGAAAGCAGGUCAUAGUGAUCCGGUGGUUCUGAAUGGAAGGGCCAUCGCUCAACGGAUAAAAGGUACUCCGGGGAUAACAGGCUGAUACCGCCCAAGAGUUCAUAUCGACGGCGGUGUUUGGCACCUCGAUGUCGGCUCAUCACAUCCUGGGGCUGAAGUAGGUCCCAAGGGUAUGGCUGUUCGCCAUUUAAAGUGGUACGCGAGCUGGGUUUAGAACGUCGUGAGACAGUUCGGUCCCUAUCUGCCGUGGGCGCUGGAGAAUUGAGGGGGGCUGCUCCUAGUACGAGAGGACCGGAGUGGACGCAUCACUGGUGUUCGGGUUGUCAUGCCAAUGGCAUUGCCCGGUAGCUAAAUGCGGAAGAGAUAAGUGCUGAAAGCAUCUAAGCACGAAACUUGCCCCGAGAUGAGUUCUCCCUGACCCUUUAAGGGUCCUGAAGGAACGUUGAAGACGACGACGUUGAUAGGCCGGGUGUGUAAGCGCAGCGAUGCGUUGAGCUAACCGGUACUAAUGAACCGUGAGGCUUAACCUU
rnacentral:rRNA from 1 species